CCUACGGGCGGCAGCAGUGAGGAAUAUUGGUCAAUGGACGAGAGUCUGAACCAGCCAAGUAGCGUGAAGGAUGGCUGCCCUAUGGGUUGUAAACUUCUUUUAUAUGGGAAUAAAAUGUUCCACGUGUGGGAUUUUGUAUGUACCAUAUGAAUAAGGAUCGGCUAACUCCGUGCCAGCAGCCGCGGUAAUACGGAGGAUCCGAGCGUUAUCCGGAUUUAUUGGGUUUAAAGGGAGCGUAGGUGGAUUGUUAAGUCAGUUGUGAAAGUUUGCGGCUCAACCGUAAAAUUGCAGUUGAAACUGGCAGUCUGGAGUACAGUAGAGGUGGGCGGAAUUCGUGGUGUAGCGGUGAAAUGCUUAGAUAUCACGAAGAACUCCGAUUGCGAAGGCAGCUCACUGGACUGCAACUGACACUGAGGCUCGAAAGUGUGGGUAUCAAACAGGAUUAGAUACCCCUGUAGUC
rnacentral:rRNA from 1 species